rnacentral:rRNA from 1 species
AGAGUUUGAUCCUGGCUCAGGAUGAACGCUAGCUACAGGCUUAACACAUGCAAGUCGAGGGGCAGCAUGGUCUUAGCUUGCUAAGGCCGAUGGCGACCGGCGCACGGGUGAGUAACACGUAUCCAACCUGCCGUCUACUCUUGGACAGCCUUCUGAAAGGAAGAUUAAUACAAGAUGGCAUCAUGAGUUCACAUGUUCACAUGAUUAAAGGUAUUCCGGUAGACGAUGGGGAUGCGUUCCAUUAGAUAGUAGGCGGGGUAACGGCCCACCUAGUCUUCGAUGGAUAGGGGUUCUGAGAGGAAGGUCCCCCACAUUGGAACUGAGACACGGUCCAAACUCCUACGGGAGGCAGCAGUGAGGAAUAUUGGUCAAUGGGCGCAGGCCUGAACCAGCCAAGUAGCGUGAAGGAUGACCGCCCUAUGGGUUGUAAACUUCUUUUAUAAAGGAAUAAAGUCGGGUAUGUAUACCCGUUUGCAUGUACUUUAUGAAUAAGGAUCGGCUAACUCCGUGCCAGCAGCCGCGGUAAUACGGAGGAUCCGAGCGUUAUCCGGAUUUAUUGGGUUUAAAGGGAGCGUAGAUGGAUGUUUAAGUCAGUUGUGAAAGUUUGCGGCUCAACCGUAAAAUUGCAGUUGAUACUGGAUAUCUUGAGUGCAGUUGAGGCAGGCGGAAUUCGUGGUGUAGCGGUGAAAUGCUUAGAUAUCACGAAGAACUCCGAUUGCGAAGGCAGCCUGCUAAGCUGCAACUGACAUUGAGGCUCGAAAGUGUGGGUAUCAAACAGGAUUAGAUACCCUGGUAGUCCACACGGUAAACGAUGAAUACUCGCUGUUUGCGAUAUACAGCAAGCGGCCAAGCGAAAGCGUUAAGUAUUCCACCUGGGGGAGUACGCCGGCAACGGUGAAACUCAAAGGAA